GCCUAUAUCUACUAGUCACCUGUAAAUGCCUGAUUCUGUCUGAUCUCAGAAGCUAAGCAGGGUUGUGCUGGGGUAGGGCUUGGAUGGGAGACUACUGGGAAUCCCAGGUGCUGCAGGAG
rnacentral:rRNA from 1 species